rnacentral:rRNA from 1 species
GACGAACGCUGGCGGCGUGCUUAACACAUGCAAGUCGAACGGAAAGGCCCUGCUUUUGUGGGGUGCUCGAGUGGCGAACGGGUGAGUAACACGUGAGUAACCUGCCCUUGACUUUGGGAUAACUUCAGGAAACUGGGGCUAAUACCGGAUAGGAGCUCCUGCUGCAUGGUGGGGGUUGGAAAGUUUCGGCGGGUGGGGAUGGACUCGCGGCUUAUCAGCUUGUUGGUGGGGUAGUGGCUUACCAAGGCUUUGACGGGUAGCCGGCCUGAGAGGGUGACCGGCAACAUUGGGACUGGGAUACGGCCCAGACUCCUACGGGAGGCAGCAGUGGGGAAUAUUGCACAAUGGGCGGAAGCCUGAUGCAGCAACGCCGCGUGCGGGAUGACGGCCUUCGGGUUGUAACCCGCUUUCGCCUGUGACGAAGCGUGAGUGACGGUAAUGGGUAAAGAAGCACCGGCUAACUACGUG